rnacentral:rRNA from 1 species
CGGUGUUCAACUGGCGUGUCCGCGGGACGUCCUGCCGGUGGGCUUAGCCCGCAAGGGCGGCCCAACUUUAAAUCCCAUCGCGGUGCUCUUCACUGAGUGUCGAGGUGGGCCGGCACGUUUACUUUGAACAAAUUAGAGUGCUUAAAGCAGGCUAAAACUUCGCCUGAAUACUGUGUGCAUGGAAUAAUGGAAUAGGACCUCGGUUCUAUUUUGUUGGUUUUCGGAACCCCGAGGUAAUGAUUAAUAGGAACGGAUGGGGGCAUUCGUAUUGCGACGUUAGAGGUGAAAUUCUUGGAUCGUCGCAAGACGGACAGAAGCGAAAGCAUUUGCCAAAAACGCUUUCAUUGAUCAAGAACGAAAGUUAGAGGUUCGAAGGCGAUCAGAUACCGCCCUAGUUCUAACCAUAAACGAUGCCAGCUAGCGAUCCGUCGACGUUCCUCCGAUGACUCGACGGGCAGCUUCCGGGAAACCAAAGCUUUUGGGUUCCGGGGGAAGUAUGGUUGCAAAGCUGAAACUUAAAGGAAUUGACGGAAGGGCACCACCAGGAGUGGAGCCUGCGGCUUAAUUUGACUCAACACGGGAAACCUCACCAGGCCCGGACACCGGAAGGAUUGACAGAUUGAGAGCUCUUUCUUGAUUCGGUGGGUGGUGGUGCAUGGCCGUUCUUAGUUGGUGGAGCGAUUUGUCUGGUUAAUUCCGAUAACGAACGAGACUCUAGCCUGCUAACUAGGCGUAUUUUCGACAUCUCAAAGGUCCGUCGUCCCGGCCCUCGGGUCGUGGGCGUGCGCGAUUUUUACUGUCGGCGUACUAUCAAUCCUUCUUAGAGGGACAGGUGGCUUCUAGCCGCACGAGAUUGAGCAAUAACAGGUCUGUGAUG